AUGAACCCAGAGCCCCGCAGGGCCAGGAGGAGCCCAAGUGGACUGAGCACAACGGGUGGGGGUGGGGCUGGGGCUGGGGUGGGGCGACUCCCUGCCUCGCUUGUAGCUCUCGGCUGGGCGAGAGCACUGCAGGCACAGAGUAUGGCCCUUGAGAUGGCACCGAGCACGACGGGGAUCCGAGGUUGGCAGCUCCUCAGAGGGCAGAAGACAACAGGGGCUAACAGAUUGGACAGCGAGGCGAGGCGGGGGGUGGGGGUGUGCGCAUCCGAAGCCCCAGGGGCUAGUGUCGGGCUGAGGGCUCUCCCCUCGCUGCAGCCUCUCCAUGCCCUCGGGCAGCAUCACGUGCACCAUGUGUGUCCCUCCCACAUCAUACCUGAGGAACAGAGACCUCAGAGCCCUGCUUGGGGCCGGGGCCUCCCUGGGGCUCCCCGUGCAGAGCCACCGGCCUGGCUCCCGUUGGCCUCUCCGUCCUCCUGGGCCGUGGACAGGGCUCGAGCUCGGGCUCCUACGCCGUCUAACCGGGGAAGCCUCUCCCUCUCGGCCGUCCGCCCUCGGCCGUCUGCCCUCUGCCUCUCGGGUCACCGUCCGGGGAGCCCUGCAGCCUCACAAGAGCCCCAGCGGGUGUCCGGGGUCAAGGGCACGGAGCAGCCACUGCUCAGCCCCCAGGCGGCCGCUGGGGACGCGCAGCGUCCUGCACCCGCAGGGACUCGGAGCCGGGAGGGACAGCCGGGCAGGGUGCUCCCAGCGAGGCGGGCAGGAAGGCUUUACCUGAAAAUAGGCCCCAGCUCCUGGAAGGUGCGGUGCAUCUCCAGGUGGAGGCUCUCAGAGCCCUGCUGCCUCCAGAUCUGCAGCACUCGCAUCCACUUGUUGCCAGGACAGCGGGGCACGGCUUCGAAGGGCAGCACCGCCCUGGUUUCGAGCGGCUCGGGUGCCCAGUGCGCGUGCCCUGCUCAGGGCCAGCCAGGGCCCGGCCCGCCACCCUCGCGCCUGUGUCCUGAAGGCCAUUCCGAUGCUCCCUCCGUCCCCGGUCAGCACAGUCCUUUUAUCUCGCCCGGAGGCCUGGAGCGGCGACUCGAUCGCGUCAUGGGAGAAGCUGUCCCUGGACGAGGCCAGGAAACCCGGCUCAGGGGUCAGGGCCGGCGGAGGAGGAGGAGGAGGAGGAGGAGGAGGAGGAGGAGGAGGAGGAGGAGGCCGAAAGAGAUGGAUGGGCACCUCACUCCCACUUGCACAAGGCCUGCUGGUGGCCGGGCGUCGAGAGCAGGUGUGGGUUGUGGCCCGGGGGCCCAGGUGGCUUGGCCAGGGUAG
rnacentral:lncRNA from 1 species